AUGGCCAACGGAAAGAAUGUCAUGGCCAUGUUAUUUCUCACCACCAUUGUCGCGGUGGCGGCCACAAGGCCAGCCGAGACCUAUGGCGCUGCGGAGGAGAACACAUUGAAGAUGGCUACCCCCAGCAGGAAAGGGGUUGACGCUACCUUAGCAGCUACACGUGUUGUUGCUGCCGAGAAGUCCAUCAAGAAGGCUGAAAGCGCCUCCACACCAGAAGAGGCCGCGGUUGCCAAGCAAGAUGGAUCCAUCAAGAAGGCCGAAACCGCCAAGACACCUGCAAAGGCCGUGGCUGCCAAGCGAGACGCGGCAAAGUCUGUUGACGAUGCAUUAAAGAAUGGUGCCAUCUCUCAGAAAACAGCUGGUACAAGUUCUUCUACCUCCCCCAAUAGGAAAGAAGGCACCACUGCUGCUGCUAAGAUGUUCACCAAGAAGGCUGAAACCGCUACCACACCUGAAGAGGUCGCGGCUGCCAAGCGAGCUGCAGCCAAGUCUACCGCUGCUGCAUCAAAGUAUGGUGUCAUUUCUCAGCAAGCGCCUGGUACAAGUUCUUCUACCUCCCCUAGCAGGAAAGAAGUUGCCGGUACCUUGGCAGAUGCUCGCAUAGCUGCUGCCGAGAAGUCCAUCAAGAAGGCUGAAACCGCCACCAGACCUAAAGAGGCAGCAAAGAAGGAUGCCGCGAAAUCUGAGGCUGAUGCAAUGAAGUACGGGGCCCUCUCUCAGCAGGCCGCCGGCAAAAAUGGUGCCUAA
rnacentral:rRNA from 1 species